CAAGCUGGCCUCGAUGUCCAACGACUUCAAAUCCGUGCUGGAGGUGCGCACCGAGAACCUGAAGCAGCAGCGCAGCCGGCGGGAACAUUUCUCCCGGGCCCCGGUGUCUGCCCUGGCUGCCAACAACCUCACCAGCCCCGCCGUGCUCCAGGCCGAGCCGCCACGCCCGGGUGUGAAUUUGGGAUUUUGGG